GACGAACGCUGGCGGCGUGCUUAACACAUGCAAGUCGAACGGAAAGGCCCCUUUGGGGGUACUCGAGUGGCGAACGGGUGAGUAACACGUGAGUAACCUGCCCUUGACUUCGGGAUAACUUCAGGAAACUGGGGCUAAUACCGGAUAGGAAUCCUUGCUGCAUGGUGGGGGUUGGAAAGCUUCGGCGGUUUUGGACGGACUCGCGGCUUAUCAGCUUGUUGGUGGGGUAGUGGCUUACCAAGGCUUUGACGGGUAGCCGGCCUGAGAGGGCGACCGGCCACAUUGGGACUGAGAUACGGCCCAGACUCCUACGGGAGGCAGCAGUGGGGAAUAUUGCACAAUGGGCGGAAGCCUGAUGCAGCAACGCCGCGGGCGGGAUGACGGCCUUCGGGUUGUAAACCGCUUUCAGCAGGGGCGAAGCUUGUGGUGACGGUACCUGCAGAAGAAGCACCGGCUAACUACGUG
rnacentral:rRNA from 1 species